UUCUUCGUCGGGGUCUAAGUUCAGGAGGGUUCCGGAUAUUUCUCUCUCAUCACUAACAGUUAAAGCACCUUUUCCGUGUAUGCAUAUAUGCAUAUAUAAACCACCUCUCUCCCCUGUUUUCUUCACAACCGCAUCCACACACAAAGCAAUUCCUCCAAAGUCAGCAGAAUUAAAACUCUCUCUCUCUCCACUCUUCCCCUUUGUUGUAGUCCUCCUUUUAUUAGUCUUGCUCCCAAACCCAAAAAAAAAAAUCCAAGAAGAAGAUAGCAUAAGCAUAAUCAAAGUCAUGUUGAUGUCUUUAUUCAGUUCUUUUGAUGCCCUUUGUGCCGAAUCCUUCGGCCAAAAGUCAUGGGCACCCGGUGCUUCUAAAAGCCACCAUCAACAACAAGAAGAAGGGGGUCAGGGUCUCCUCUUGUUGUUUCCUCCGAGCGCAAGGCGGCAGGCCUAGUGUCACUUGAUGAUGCUGGCGGCAAGAACAAAGGCAAACAAGGAAAUAGGCCGUCAUCCCCUGAGGCCAACAAGUCUGGAGAUCAUCAUCAUCGUCCGUUGCAGCAGAAAAGGAGACCAAGGUUCGCCGUGGAAUUGGAUGGGCUGCACUGUUUCGAAACCAUCAUCCCCUAUUAAUCGAUUAUUGAUUUUACUUUGUGGUAGUGGCAGAAACAGAUUUUGAUUCUUUAUCCGAUCCCCUUCAUUUUAAGUGCGUAUAGAUGUUGUCAAUUUGGUAUAGCACUAGUCUGUUACUACAGCAUUCUUUGUUUUCCCUUUUCUUUUCAAAAAUCAAUGGAGUUGCUGCCGUUUUUUCAUUCUUCGAUUUCCUGUUAUGAUCCGUGGGAUUGUCCGAUCGUCUUCUCGCUCGCGUACUGUUGCAUAUACUACUAUUAUACUGAUGAUCUUCUUUUGCUGCUCCUGAACCACUAUGAUGAGAGACUGCCGAAAGAAGCAUCUUAUAUUUACCCACGACGUUCAAAAUACAACAGGGAGACCCUUAAGCUUACCCACAAAAGCUAUUUUUGUAAUUUUUAAGAGUUUUUGAUUUCACGACGGACGGAAGGACUGCGUUUGGUCGCUAAUUCUUUAGAGGGGUUGCGUUGCAGAGUGAAUCUCAAACUCAGUACUCUGUACCCCCUUAAGCUCGUUGGCUUUCUUUAGUCUCACAUAUGAUAUCUAUCAGGCUUUCUCUGCAAGGAAAAAGUCAUCCGUGGUUGCUGCUACAAAGCAACUAAUCGAACCUUACCCUUUCAACAUUAUUUGCUGAAGAGAGGUGGUAAAUCGCUUUCUUUCUUCCUCUCCCCUGGCUUGGGAACUUCUUUCACGUGGGAUCUCUUCUUUGUUCCUGGAAAAAGAAGUGGAGUGCCGGAGAGAAAACGUGAUGCUAGUACGAGGUGAUGUAUAGAGAUAUAGACUGAAAAUAAGGUGAAGAAAGAAACGGGAAUUGACAGUGUAGUAUUUGGGCACGGCAAGCAAAAACUUGGAUAGAUCUGCUGUAAUAGAUUUCGUCACAUUUUUAUUUAUUGUGUAUUUAAUACUUGAAUUAGUGACAAAUUUUGAAUUACUUGAUGGAUCUCGUAAAUAAAUUAGAUCUACCCAAGUUUUUGCC